rnacentral:lncRNA from 1 species
GCCCCAGCGGGCCGCCAUGUUGUUGGCCUUUACCGGAGGGAGGGCGAGUCAGGGAGUGCUGGGCUGCCUGAGGACUGUAGGUCUUCUGUGGGCUCAGCAGCUGUGCAUCAUCCUGACCUUAGCUUGGAAGAGGGCCCCAGGAGCCCCACUGUUGAGGGCAGUCAGCAUCGGUUCCCUUCUGAGGAUGGCUGGUUCUCCAAGACUUCCCCUCCUUCCUCAUUUACGCCUGUUAAACAUCAAGUCAUUUUUCUGCUCGUGACUCUGCCAGCCCAGGCUGUCAGCCCAUGUCUGUAUUAGAGAACAUCUGCCAAUAAAGCUGUAAUAGCAAGCCCUCCUAAUGUGUGU